AUAUUUGCCAUAAAACCAA
rnacentral:snRNA from 1 species